UACGAAGGUCCCGAGCGUUAUCCGGAUUUAUUGGGUUUAAAGGGUGCGUAGGCGGGUUAUUAAGUCAGUGGUGAAAGCCUACAGCUUAACUGUAGAAUUGCCAUUGAUACUGAUGAUCUUGAGUAUGAUUGAGGUGGGGCGGAAUGUGUCAUGUAGCGGUGAAAUGCUUAGAUAUGACACAGAACACCGAUUGCGAAGGCAGCUCACUAAGCCAUAACUGACGCUGAUGCACGAAAAGCGUGGGGGAGCAAACAGG
rnacentral:rRNA from 1 species